rnacentral:rRNA from 1 species
AGGGCGGGACACGUGUUAUCCUGUCUGAAUAUGGGGGGACCAUCCUCCAAGGCUAAAUACUCCUGACUGACCGAUAGUGAACCAGUACCGUGAGGGAAAGGCGAAAAGAACCCCUGUGAGGGGAGUGAAAUAGAACCUGAAACCGUGUACGUACAAGCAGUAGGAGCACCUUCGUGGUGUGACUGCGUACCUUUUGUAUAAUGGGUCAGCGACUUAUAUUCAGUGGCAAGGUUAACCAUCUAGGGGAGCCGUAGGGAAACCGAGUCUUAACUGGGCGCCAUAGUCUCUGGAUAUAGACCCGAAACCGAGUGAUCUAGCCAUGGGCAGGUUGAAGGUUGAGUAACAUCAACUGGAGGACCGAACCGACUAAUGUUGAAAAAUUAGCGGAUGACUUGUGGCUAGGGGUGAAAGGCCAAUCAAACUCGGAGAUAGCUGGUUCUCCCCGAAAGCUAUUUAGGUAGCGCCUCGGACGAAUACUACUGGGGGUAGAGCACUGUUAAGGCUAGGGGGUCAUCCCGACUUACCAACCCUUUGCAAACUCCGAAUACCAGUAAGUACUAUCCGGGAGACACACGGCGGGUGCUAACGUCCGUCGUGGAGAGGGAAACAACCCAGACCGCCAGCUAAGGUCCCAAAUUACAGCUAAGUGGGAAACGAUGUGGGAAGGCUUAGACAGCUAGGAUGUUGGCUUAGAAGCAGCCAUCAUUUAAAGAAAGCGUAAUAGCUCACUAGUCGAGUCGGCCUGCGCGGAAGAUGUAACGGGGCUAAGUUGUA